rnacentral:rRNA from 1 species
AUUGAACGCUGGCGGCAGGCUUAACACAUGCAAGUCGAGCGAGCGGCGGACGGGUGAGUAAUGUAUGGGGACUGCCCGAUAGAGGGGGAUAACUACUGGAAACGGUGGCUAAUACCGCAUACUAUCGGAUAACCCAUAUGGGAUUAGCUAGUAGGUGGGGUAAAGGCUCACCUAGGCGACGAUGUCUAGCUGGCCUGAGGGGAGGAGCAGCAAAACUGGAACUGAGCCACGGCCCAGACUCCUACGGAGGCAGCAGUGGGGAAUAUUGCACAAUGGGGGCAAUCCUGAUGCAGAAAUGCCGCGUGUAUGAAGAGGGCCUUAGGGUUGUAAAGUACUUUCAGCGGGGAGGCGUUACCCGAAGAGGAAGCACCGGCUAACUCCGUGCCAGCAGCCGCGGUAAUAC